CUGACACAGGUGCUGCAUGGCUGUUGUCAGCUCGUGUCGUGAGAUGUUGGGUUAAGUCCGUAACGAGCGCAACCCUUGUCCUUAGUUACCAGCACGUUAUGGUGGGCACUCUAAGGAGACUGCCGGUGACAAACCGGAGGAAGGUGGGGAUGACGUCAAGUCAUCAUGGCCCUUACGGCCUGGGCUACACACGUGCUACAAUGGUCGGUACAAAGGGUUGCCAAGCCGCGAGGUGGAGCUAAUCCCAUAAAACCGAUCGUAGUCCGGAUCGCAGUCUGCAACUCGACUGCGUGAAGUCGGAAUCGCUAGUAAUCGUGAAUCAGAAUGUCACGGUGAAUACGUUCCCGGGCCUU
rnacentral:rRNA from 1 species